UACUAUGCUAUGUGAAAUAAGCCAGUCACAAAAGGACACAUGCUGUGUAAUUACACUGAUAUGAGCAAACCUUUGGGAAGGUUUCCCUUGGCCCCUACAGUGUUGGCGUCACAGACAGGAUCCUAAAGCUGCUCUACUUUUCUGGAAGCCACAGUCCAGGGAACCCAGGACCUGACAAAGCAUCAGAAGGAGUCAUUUAUCUCCGAGGAUGUCAGGAGGAACCCCAAAAUGUCAUCAAGACACUGGCUACAGGUCUAAACUCCAAUAAAAUCCAGCUGGGUUACAUCAAUUCAGACAUCUGGAUAAAAGGAUGAAUGAAACCAUGUACAUAAUACAGAAUUAUGCAUGCCAGGAAAAAAAAUUAUACUGCCUAAAAGCUGCAACCUUCAUGACAUCAAAUCUAUUUUAACACUGGCUGGUUAUGUGAGGAAAAGGCUAAUAAAAAAAAAUUCUGGCUGACCAAAGAAGUAUGUAUGUAUGUAUGUGUAUUUAUUUUUAAAUUAAUAUUGAGAUGGAUUAAUGUUCUAAAAUUUGGAAUUUCUAACAUUAU
rnacentral:lncRNA from 1 species